rnacentral:rRNA from 1 species
AUUGAACGCUGGCGGCAGGCUUAACACAUGCAAUUCGAGCGAGCGGCGGACGGGCGAGUAAUGUCUGGGAAACUGCCUGAUGGAGGGGGAUAACUACUGGAAAAGGUAGCUAAUACCGCAUACUAUCAACUGUGCCUAGAUGGGAUUAGCUAGUAGGUGGGGUAAUGGCUCACCUAGGCGACGAUCCCUAGCUGGUCUGAGAGGAUGACCAGCCACACUGGAACGUAGACACGGUCCAGACUCCUACGGGAGGCAGCAGUAGGGAAUAUUGCACAAUGGGCGCAAGCCUGAUGCAGCCAUGCCGCGUGUGUGAAGAAGGCCUUCGGGUUGUAAAGCACUUUCAGCGAGGAGGCGUUACUCGCAGAAGAAGCACCGGCUAACUCCGUGCCAGCAGCCGCGGUAAUUC